ensembl:snoRNA
ACGCAUCUCUUUGACAGACCUGGAGCAGUUAUGUCUGCUUUUAAGGUUUACACUAAGAUGCAAGAAAAAAUUUCCUCGCGCUUUCUUUCUGCCUGAUUGUGGCAGUCUAGAUUGAAUAGAGGAAUACAAGA